rnacentral:rRNA from 1 species
UCGAGAAUCUUCCGCAAUGGGCGAAAGCCUGACGGAGCGACGCCGCGUGGUGGAUGAAGUACUUCGGUACGUAAACACCUUUUAUGAGUGAAGAAGUAUAUUGACAUUAGCUCAUGAAUAAGGGGCUCCCAACUCUGUGCCAGCAGGAGCGGUAAUACAGAGGCCCCAAGCGUUAUCCGGAUUCACUGGGCGUAAAGGGUGCGUAGGCGGUUAUAUUAGUCGGGUGUUAAAUCCAUGGGCUCAACCCAUGAAUCGCAUUCGAAACGGUAUAACUAGAAGUAGUCAGAGGCUAACAGAGCUCUCGGUGUAGGGGUGAAAUCCGUUGAUAUCGAGGGAAAUACCAAAUGCGAAGGCAGUUAGCUGGGGCUCACUUGACGCUGAGGCACGAAAGCGUGGGUAGCGAACGGGAUUAGAUACCCCCGUAGUCC